CUACGGGGGGCAGCAGUGGGGAAUAUUGCACAAUGGGCGAAAGCCUGAUGCAGCAACGCCGCGUGAGUGAAGAAGGCCUUCGGGUCGUAAAACUCUUUUCUUGGGGAAGAAAUGAUGACGGUACCCAAGGAAUAAGCCCCGGCUAAUUACGUGCCAGCAGCCGCGGUAAUACGUAAGGGGCAAGCGUUAUCCGGAAUCACUGGGCGUAAAGGGUGCGUAGGUGGUCCUGUAAGUCAGAAGUGAAAGGCUACGGCUUAACCGUAGUAAGCUUUUGAAACUGUGGGACUUGAGUGGAGGAGAGGAAAGUGGAAUUCCUAGUGUAGCGGUGAAAUGCGUAGAUAUUAGGAGGAACACCAGUGGCGAAGGCGACUUUCUGGACUGUAACUGACACUGAGGCACGAAAGCGUGGGGAGCAAACAGGAUUAGAUACCCUCGUAGUC
rnacentral:rRNA from 1 species